rnacentral:lncRNA from 1 species
AGCUAUCAUGCUGUCGAGUGGGGUACUUGAAGACCUCGUGGACUAGCUGAAGGGCCAGAAAUCCAAUACAUCAAGAAGUCUGAGUCUGGUGCCAUGGUAAGAGGAUGAGCAGUAGAUGGGGGAGCAGAAGCAGGAGGCCCGCGGCACCGAGUUGAGUAUGGCCUGGGCUCACUGUAUUUGUCUUCCAGCCAGCACCAUGGCCAGCUGCUCCUAGGACAGUUCCCUGAGCUUCCUGUCCAUUCCUACCUGCUGCUUGCCGCCAUGCCUCUGCUGCUCCAGCAGGAACUCUAACCCUCUAGGAACUUCGAAUUUCACCUCAGACUUCGAGGAAGAAACA